CAAGAAACCUGUAAAAGCAGCAUUCAACUGCCAAAUUUGAGGACAGUGUACGCUUCAAAAAGCUUUUGAAGUGCCUCAAGUUCUUACUCCAGGGUUUAUGGUAUUGACGAUGCUUUGCUGAUCUUUUCCUGGCCCCAGCAGUAAGCCAUUUGGAAUCAAUAAAAACUGUUCACACUUGUUCCGCUUGGAAAGGCUAGCAGGGCUUCGACUUCAAGGUCAGUAAUAGAUUGUGUGUGUGGUCUGGGGUAGAGGAGGUAGGACUGAGGCAGGUUAGUAUAGGGAAAAAGGGAAAAAGCUGGGACCUGGCAGAGAACAUGGCCGUGACCCUUCUGGGGAAGGCUGCUACUAAGAACAAAGCCAGAAAGACCCCGCCGAGACCCUGGCCACGAGGUCCCAUUUGGAACUCUUCCUGGGGUCAAGGGGAACCCCCGGAUACCUCCAAACAAAAGGCCUCAUCGGUUGUCCCCCUGACAGCUAACAGGGGGCACCACUCAGAACAGCAAACAGCUGGGGCCCCUCCCCGACAGGAGGAAGGGGGAGUGGAAGGUCUUAAAAAGGCCUAACGUGGGAUCCUAUGAGCGCGUCUCACCCUGCAGAUGCCCACAGCCGUGUAAUAGGGUGUAUACUCUUUUCCUUUUCUUGUUUCUUUAUAAACUCUUUACUCCCUUUCCUACCCUAUGAUAUGCCCUUAAAUUCUUUUAUGCAAUAUAGCCAAGAACCUAGAAGCCCAGAAUCUAGAGCAUUCCUCGCAGGAUGGAGCGAGGAGGGUGGAGAAUGGUGCCGUGAUGGAGGGAGGAACAUGGAAGAUCCGAAUCUCACCAGACGCUACGGUGGCUUCAGUGUGUUUUAGGACCAAAAGACAACGACGACGGCGAUGAUGAUGAUGACGACGACGACGGUGGAGGAAGAGGAGGAGGUGAUCUCCUCAUUCAGUGGCAAAGACUGACAGGAAGAGGUUGUAACUGAAAUGGUGUUUUACUUCUUAGCAAAACUUCUGGUAAAAGGAUGCCAUGGCCAUUAGGAAGAGCUCAGAGGGAGUUGCAGCAGGCUAACAAAUCUCUCGAAUGCAACUUAAAUCAGAAAUUAUAAUGCACUAUCUUAUUUGUUAAACCCAGAAUGCAGAUAGGAGUUUCCAGGACUGAAUUGACCCAUUUGAUGCCAUUUAAACUCUUACCAGCAGAUGUCAGUGCAACCUAAUUAACUGACAUUUUUAGCAGUUGCAGUAAUUGCCAUAAACUGAAUGGUCUUAAAAUAGCAAAGUUUAAAACCUACUGUCAAUGUAUAUUUAAGUGGAGCUUUAGAAAAAAAUCAAUCCUUCAAAAGUUACUAAAUUAAAAUAGGCCCUUGCCUAUGUAAACCAUAUUACAUUAUUUUCAUCAUAAUUUACAUGACAACAGCAUUUCUCAGUGACAUAUAAAGGACAUGACCUUAAUUAAGUACAAAAUGCUGGUUUGUGCUGAAGUGUGAAACUGGCACAUUAGUUUUUUAAUUCACACAUCAUCGGCGCUAGAGCCAAAUGAAACUCAUUUGCCUCUGGGUGACAUAUUUACAACCCUUGGAGAAACACAUUAAUUCCUAAUGAAUCCCAAAACAUCAGUAGUGUGAUACCAUUUGUUAUCUAGAAUGCAGCCUGUUAGCAAAAGUUGAUAAUCUAAUGGCAGUACCAGCAGCACCUAUUAUGAACUGACCAUUACCCCAUAUAAUCUUUCUAACAACCCUGCAAUGUCCAUUACCAGUAGCACCCACAUUUUGAGGAUGCAACAACUGAUGUUCAGAAAGAUUAGGUAAUUUGCCAAAGCUAUGCAGCUAGUUUACAUGACAGACCUAAGAAGUUUCCAAAGCUGUAUUCCUCCCCUUAUGCAAGACUCCAUUCCUUACAAACAUACUAUUUUAUCAUCCUGCAGGGAAGAGGCUCUUGUUGCCUUUUCAUCACAUUUGGAGUUAAAGCUAUAUUGUUUACAAAUAUUUCUACAACAGUGAUAUGCUGUACAAGCAGAACAAGGUUAAAAUAAAGAUAAAAACAUGGAAUAUGUAUAUAACUGCUUUGCAUUCAGCAGUGUGUGAUCGCUAUACGAUGGGGUAUACUGCUCUUCACAUUUCCCUGGGUGCUUGGAUGUGCAUAUGCUAAGUUUUGGAAGUCCUCUUUAUUAUUUCUUUGAGUAUUCCUUCUGCUGUUUUCUUUCUUCUCUUCUGGGACUUCCAUAAUGUGUGUGUGUGUUGGCACGCUUGAUGGUGAUCCUUAGCUGUCUUAGACUAUUCUUACCAUUUAUAAUUCUUUUUUCUUUCUGCUCCUCAGCCUGACUCAUUUCAAUUAUCUUGUCUUUGAGUUGGCUGAUUCUUUCUUCUGCCGGCUCCAAUCUGCUGUUGGAUCCCUCCUGGGAGUUUUUCAUUAACAGUGAAGCCUUAAAUUAAACCGUGGACUAUAGUUAAUAGUACAAUUUUUUAAAAUGUGCUUUCACCAGUUGUAACAAAUGUACACAUC
ensembl:lincRNA